ACCGGUUGGUUAGCUGGGGAUUGGGCUUGCUUGGGGCGAUUGCUCUGGCUUGCCUUAAAAUCAAGCGUUGUGUGGAUUGGACUUUCAAGCAUGCAUUGGGGACGCAGGCUCUGCGCUAUGGCAAGCCCUUGACCGUCAUAGGUGCUUUGAUUGGGGUUUUCAGUCUAGCCAACAAGGCUGGGUUGAAGGACUUUGGGGCUGCAUUGGGGGCGCAAGGGCAGCUCUGUUCGUGGCGUCCGAUGGCCGUCAUGAUGCAUGCGUGAUUGGACUUCAACUAGCAAUUAUCAUUAUCAUCAUCAUUACUAUGGGUUACCUCAGGUCAGAGAAGACUACCCGCUGGACUUAAGCAUAUCACUAAGCGGAGAAAAGAAAGUA
rnacentral:rRNA from 1 species